UCCUACGGGAGGCAGCAGUGGGGAAUCUUAGACAAUGGGGGCAACCCUGAUCUAGCCAUGCCGCGUGAGUGAUGAAGGCCUUAGGGUCGUAAAGCUCUUUCGCCUGUGAUGAUAAUGACAGUAGCAGGUAAAGAAACCCCGGCUAACUCCGUGCCAGCAGCCGCGGUAAUACGGAGGGGGUUAGCGUUGUUCGGAAUUACUGGGCGUAAAGCGCGCGUAGGCGGAUUAGAAAGUUGGGGGUGAAAUCCCGGGGCUCAACCUCGGAACUGCCUCCAAAACUGCUAGUCUAGAGUUCGAGAGAGGUGAGUGGAAUUCCGAGUGUAGAGGUGAAAUUCGUAGAUAUUCGGAGGAACACCAGUGGCGAAGGCGGCUCACUGGCUCGAUACUGACGCUGAGGUGCGAAAGUGUGGGGAGCAAACAGGAUUAGAUACCCUGGUAGUCCACACCGUAAACGAUGAAUGCCAGUCGUCGGGUAGUAUACUAUUCGGUGACACACCUAACGGAU
rnacentral:rRNA from 1 species